CAGACUUGGGGAUGAGCAGGAACCAAGGGAGCCCUGGAGGGACUGGAGACAGGAAGGAGGAACCAACCUCUUCAUGCAGGACUUGCCAGUGGAGGCGCCGGGGAGCCAG
rnacentral:miRNA from 1 species